UGGGGAAUAUUGGGCAAUGGAGGAAACUCUGACCCAGCGACGCCGCGUGAGGGGUGAAGGCCUUCGGGUUGUAAACCUCUUUCAGUAGGGAAGAAGCGAAAGUGACGGUACCUACAGAAGAAGCACCGGCUAACUAUGUG
rnacentral:rRNA from 1 species